ACUCCGGCUGCGCGUUAAACCACGUGGGCGCUUUUACGACACAACCUCGCCCUGACUGCAGUUCAGAACGGGUGAAUCAGAAUCUCUGCAGGCACGGUCCAAGCGCUGGAACUUUAAAAAGCUCCCCGGGUGACUCUAGUGUGUAGCCUGGAUUGAGAACCACUGAACUAAAUUGUUUACGUGAUAAGGCAGGAUGGAAGUGUGCAUGCUUGAGUAGAAAGCAAGUGGCACCAAGAGGAGCUAAACAUGCCGGAGAGGAAGAGCAUAGGUGUGAGCCCACAGACUGAGAAAAAUGAACAUCUUUUAGCUGAAAAAAGAUACCUCAGAAAGAUACGUAGAUCUGACUGGAAAUAGUGUAUCUGCCUUGUGAUGCUCAUUUUUCAUUCCUACCCGUCAAUUAUGCAAGGGCUGAUAUUGAAAUUCAGUUGGUCUGGGGAGACUCUGCUUCUGGCUGUGGGUGACGGACGUGCCUUGCCUCUGGGCUGUUCCAUGCAUCUCAUUCCAGGCUGACAGGCAGCAGCAACUCAGGGCAUAUUCUUCUCCUGGCUACAGCAAGUGAGCAGGGAAUGGCUCAUUUUAAACCUCUGCUCAUGCAACAGGCUCUGACAUCCCAUUGGCCAAAAUGAGUCAUACGCUAAGUCCAAAGUCAAGGGUGGAAAGAACACGCUGCCCACCAUGAGUCCAUGUCAAGGGUAUUGAAGUGUAAUUUUCUAGCAGGAGAAUGAAGAAUUGAGGCCAAUGAUUCAGUUCACCACAGGUUUCCAAGAUUUUUGUAGUCACUUUUCAUCUCACUAAAACCUAUCAUACAAACCCCACCACAGGCAGUGGUAUCUUUGUCAUCUUUCCCCAGAAUAUGUUUUGUUUACUCCCAUCAGAGCUCCCGCUUCAUCAGGAGUUACACUAACACAGCUUUUAACUCAAACAUCCUUUUUUUUUUUUCUUUUUUUAAGUGGAAAUCAUUCCUUAUUGAAUUCACUAUUGAAUUCUUCUCCUGGAUGCCUUUCCUUAGAGAUUCUCACGCACACACAAAAGUAGUCCUCCUCUGUUCUUUAGGGAAACAGAACCCAGAAAACUCUGUCAAGUGAAGCAUGCUGGCCACGUAUGUGUUUUCCUCCGACAGAAUAGCACACUUCCCAAACCACUUCACUUGUACUAAUACAAAUUUACUUAAUUUUGCAGCAGUUUUAUUUUUGUUUAUUUAUUUAUUUAUUUAUUAAAGAUUAGC
rnacentral:lncRNA from 1 species